rnacentral:ncRNA from 1 species
ACCCCUGUGAGAAUGCCCCAUAGUCCCCUGCCCGAGGACAAGGAGCUGGUAUCAGGCACAGACACCCAUCAGCCCACGACACCUUGCUUAGCCACACCCCCACGGGAACUCAGCAGUGAUAAAUAUUAAGCCAUAAGUGAAAACUUGACUUAGUUAAAGUUAAAAGAGCCGGUUAAACUCGUGCCAGCCACCGCGGUUAUACGAGAGGCUCAAGUUGAUAGCCGUCGGCGUAAAGCGUGGUUAAGAAAUCCUUCAACUAAAGCCGAAUGCCCUCAGAACUGUUAUACGUACCCGAAGGUAAGAAGCCCAAUUACGAAAGUAGCUUUAUUUUCUCUGAACCCACGAAAGCUGUGGAACAAACUGGGAUUAGAUACCCCACUAUGCACAGCCCUAAACUUAGAUAGCACACCACAUCCCCUAUCCGCCCGGGAACUACGAGCACUAGCUUAAAACCCAAAGGACUUGGCGGUGCUUUAUAUCCACCUAGAGGAGCCUGUUCUAAAACCGAUAACCCCCGUUAAACCUCACCCUCUCUUGUCAUUCCCGCCUAUAUACCGCCGUCGUCAGCUUACCCUAUGAAGGCCCAACAGUAAGCAAAAUUAGCAUAGCUCAAAACGCCAGGUCGAGGUGUAGCACAUGAGAGGGGCAGAAAUGGGCUACACUUCCUACUUUAAGGAAAAACGAACAAUGUACUGAAAUAUGCAUUAGAAGGAGGAUUUAGUAGUAAGCAGAAAAUAGAGUGUUCUGCUGAAUCUGGCCCUAAAGCGCGCACACACCGCCCGUCACUCUCCCCUAGCAACACGAUACAUUUUUAUAUAAUUAAUUUACACAGUAAAGGGGAGGCAAGUCGUAACAUGGUAAGUGUACCGGAAGGUGCACUUGGACAAAC